GUGGACUGGAAAAGAGGAAGGCAAACGCAGUGGCUAGGCGGAGACCUCCCAAAUCCCACGUCUCCCCGAGAAUCCCCGACGGGCUACAGACCUAGGGCAGCCAUAAGAAAAAACGUCAGCUACAUCUCGAGGGAGUGGGGUGGAGUGCGGGCGCUUGCUCUAGUCGAGCCCUGACAUCGAUUCUGCGGGGGCGGGGAGGAGUCGGCGCGGGGCUGGGGCUGGGAGGGGAGUUUAUUUAUUAGCCAGAUUAGCCAGCAUUAAUGGGGGAGCGGUGGCGGCCGGCGGCAGCAGGGACAUAGCUGGCAUAGCUGGCAUAGCGGCGGGGCCUCCUGCGGCGCGGGGCUCCGCGGCUUCAAAGGGGCUUAAAGAGGCCCUUGGUGGCACUGCCACGGCCCCGCGGGGGAGGGCGUGGGCGCGGGCGGCGGGGGAGAAGGCGGCCAUUGUGCACCGAGGGAUUAGGGCUCUGGCCUGGAAGGAAUUUUAAACUGCCGCGAGCCGGAGCCCCAGGACUCUCCUCCUGCCCCACCCCUGCCCUCCGGAGCACGCUGAGGUGUUUACCUGCUUUCCUAUGUCUGGGGUGGAGGGGGUGUCCUCUCUCCUCCCUCAAACUGGAGGCACCUAGGGUUACCAGAUCUGGCAAAUAAAAACACAAGACUUCCAGUUAAACUGGAUACUUUAAAUAGUGUAAGUCUGUCCCAAAUAUUGUAUGGGACAGACUUAUGCUAAAAUAUUAUUCGUUGUUUAUCUGAUAUUCAAUUUAAUUGGACGUCUUGUAUUUUUUUUCCUGGCAGCCCUUGAGGCAUUGAAAUCUCUAAUCCAUGUCUGGAAACAGAUUGAUGGUUCCCGAAAGUCCAGUGGAAACACUCUGUCUUCCUGCUUUGAGGACAGCUGAAGUCUUGCCACUUCUUCUGGAUGCUCUGACCAUCAGUAAGCCACCUCAGUCUCACCCUCCGCAGAAUGCAGGCCCACUCCGUUGCUGAAGGGCCUCCUCCUUGGGCCAGGGCGCCUGCUUCUGCCAGUGGCAUCAUCACCCCACUCCUCAGCCGCCAGUCAUCAGAGACACGGUCUGACUUUGUUACCCCGGCUGGAGUGCAGUGGUGCAAUCAUGGCUCACUGCAGCCUUAACCUCCUGGGCUCAAGUGAUCCUCUCGCCAAGGCUAGGAUAAGUAGCUAGGACUACAGAUGCGCCCCAUCACGCCCAGCUAAUUUUACAACUUCUGUAGAGAUGGAGUGUUGCUGGGUUGCCCAGGCUGGUCUUGAAUUCCUGGGCUCAAGCGAUCCUCCUGUGUCCGGAAUUGGUGGGUUCUUGGUCUCACUGACUUCAAGAAUGAAGCCGCGGACCCUCGCGGUGAGUGUUACAGUUCUUAAAGACAGCGUGUCCAGAGUUUGUUCCUUCUGAUGUUCAGAUGUGUUCAGAGUUUCUUCCUUCUGGUGGGUUCGUGGUCUCGCUGGCUUAGGGGUGAAGCUGCAGACCUUCGCGGUGAGUGUUACAGUUCUUAGGGCGGCGCGUCUGGAGUUGUCUGUUCCUCCCGGUGGGCUCGUAGUCUCGCUGGCUUCAGGAGUGAAGCUGCAGACCUUCGCGGUGAGUGUUACAGCUCAUAAAGGCAGCGUGGACCUACAGAGUGAGCAGUAGCAAGAUUUAUUGCAAAGAGCAAAAGAACAAAGCUUCCACAGCGUGGAAAGGGAUCCCAGC
rnacentral:lncRNA from 10 species